rnacentral:rRNA from 1 species
CAAAUGACUCUCAGCAACGGAUAUCUUGG